UACAGAGGUCCCAAGCGUUGUUCGGAUUCACUGGGCGUAAAGGGUGCGUAGGCGGCCCUGUAAGUCAGUGGUGAAAGCCCGCAGCUUAACUGCGGAACUGCCAUUGAUACUGCAAGGCUUGAGUACAGAUGAUGUUGGCGGAAUAUGACAUGUAGCGGUGAAAUGCAUAGAUAUGUCAUAGAACACCGAUUGCGAAGGCAGCUGACAAAACUGUAACUGACGCUGAGGCACGAAAGAUGUGGGGAGUCAAAACAGGG
rnacentral:rRNA from 1 species